rnacentral:rRNA from 1 species
GCAAGUCGAGCGGAUGACGGGAGCUUGCUCCUUGAUUCAGCGGCGGACGGGUGAGUAAUGCCUAGGAAUCUGCCUGGUAGUGGGGGACAACGUUUCGAAAGGAACGCUAAUACCGCAUACGUCCUACGGGAGAAAGCAGGGGACCUUCGGGCCUUGCGCUAUCAGAUGAGCCUAGGUCGGAUUAGCUAGUUGGUGAGGUAAUGGCUCACCAAGGCGACGAUCCGUAACUGGUCUGAGAGGAUGAUCAGUCACACUGGAACUGAGACACGGUCCAGACUCCUACGGGAGGCAGCAGUGGGGAAUAUUGGACAAUGGGUGAAAGCCUGAU